AGAGUUUGAUCGUGGCUCAGAGCGAACGCUGGCGGCAGGCUUAACACAUGCAAGUCGAACGGGCUUCUUCGGAAGUCAGUGGCAGACGGGUGAGUAACACGUGGGAACGUGCCCUUCGGUUCGGAAUAACUCAGGGAAACUUGAGCUAAUACCGGAUACGCCCUUUUGGGGAAAGGUUGACUGCCGAAGGAUCGGCCCGCGUCUGAUUAGCUUGUUGGUGGGGUAACGGCCUACCAAGGCGACGAUCAGUAGCUGGUCUGAGAGGAUGAUCAGCCACACUGGGACUGAGACACGGCCCAGACUCCUACGGGAGGCAGCAGUGGGGAAUAUUGGACAAUGGGCGCAAGCCUGAUCCAGCCAUGCCGCGUGAGUGAUGAAGGCCUCAGGGUUGUAAAGCUCUUUUGUCCGGGACGAUAAUGACGGUACCGAAGAA
rnacentral:rRNA from 1 species